GGUUAAGCGACUAAGCGUACACGGUGGAUGCCCUGGCAGUCAGAGGCGAUGAAGGACGUGCUAAUCUGCGAUAAGCGUCGGUAAGGUGAUAUGAACCGUUAUAACCGGCGAUUUCCGAAUGGGGAAACCCAGUGUGAUUCGUCACACUAUCAUUAACUGAAUCCAUAGGUUAAUGAGGCGAACCGGGGGAACUGAAACAUCUAAGUACCCCGAGGAAAAGAAAUCAACCGAGAUUCCCCCAGUAGCGGCGAGCGAACGGGGAGGAGCCCAGAGCCUGAAUCAGUGUGUGUGUUAGUGGAAGCGUCUGGAAAGGCGCGCGAUACAGGGUGACAGCCCCGUACACAAAAAUGCACAUACUGUGAGCUCGAUGAGUAGGGCGGGACACGUGGUAUCCUGUCUGAAUAUGGGGGGACCAUCCUCCAAGGCUAAAUACUCCUGACUGACCGAUAGUGAACCAGUACCGUGAGGGAAAGGCGAAAAGAACCCCGGCGAGGGGAGUGAAAAAGAACCUGAAACCGUGUACGUACAAGCAGUGGGAGCACGCUUCGGCGUGUGACUGCGUACCUUUUGUAUAAUGGGUCAGCGACUUAUAUUCUGUAGCAAGGUUAACCGAAUAGGGGAGCCGAAGGGAAACCG
rnacentral:rRNA from 1 species